AUUCUUAUUAGCUCAAUGGUAGAGCAGGAUACUUCUAAUAUCUAGAUUCAAGUUCGAGUCUUGGAUAGGAAUA
rnacentral:tRNA from 1 species